GGCGGCGCGGCUCAGUGGAAAGAGCCCGGGCUUGGGGGUCCGAGGUCAUGGGUUCGAAUCCCGGCUCUGCCA
rfam:Ornithorhynchus anatinus chromosome 4, whole genome shotgun sequence.